GUGACCUACGGGGGGCCGCCGUCGGGCCUUUUCGUCCCUGGGCGCCCGCCUGAACGAGCAAUGCCGCGUGAACGAGGAAGGUCUUCGGAUCGUAAAGUUCUGUUGAAGGGGAAAAAGAGCGGAGAGAGGAAAUGCUUUCUGAUUGAUAUUACCCUUCGAGGAAGUCACGGCUAACUACGUGCCAGCAGCCGCGGUAAUACGUAGGUGGCGAGCGUUAUCCGGAAUGAUUGGGCGUAAAGGGUGCGUAGGCGGCCUGCUAAGUCUGGAGUGAAAGGUACCGGCUCAACCGGUACAGGCUCUGGAAA
rnacentral:rRNA from 1 species